UUGUUCCUUCUCCACUCCCACUGCUUCACU
rnacentral:piRNA from 1 species